GGAGCGGUAGUUCAGUUGGUUAGCUCUUCGCUACGAACUUAGCGGCCUGCCAUGCCGGGGGCGCGGGUUCGAGCCCCGUCCGCUGUG
rnacentral:tRNA from 1 species